rfam:Danio rerio chromosome 4, GRCz11 reference primary assembly.
GCAGUGGUGGUUCACUGGUAGAAUUCUCGCCUGCCAUGCGGGAGACCCGGGUCCGAUUCCUGGCCACUGCA